AGUGAACGCUGGCGGUAGGCCUAACACAUGCAAGUCGAACGGCAGCACAGGAGAGCUUGCUCUCUGGGUGGCGAGUGGCGGACGGGUGAGGAAUACAUCGGAAUCUACCUUUUCGUGGGGGAUCACGUAGGGAAACUUACGCUAAUACCGCAUACGACCUACGGGUGAAAGUGGGGGACCGCAAGGCCUCACGCGAUUAGAUGAGCCGAUGUCCGAGUAGCUAGUUGGCGGGGUAAUGGCCCACCAAGGCGACGAUCGGUAGCUGGUCUGAGAGGAUGAUCAGCCACACUGGAACUGAGACACGGUCCAGACUCCUACGGGAGGCAGCAGUGGGGAAUAUUGGACAAUGGGCGCAAGCCUGAUUCAGCCAUACCGCGUGGGUGAAGAAGGCCUUCGGGUUGUAAAGCCCUUUUGUUGGGAAAGAAAUCCUAUCGGUUAAUACCCUGAGGUUCUGACGGUACCCAAAGAAUAAGCACCGGCUAACUUCGUGCCAGCCGCCGCAGUAA
rnacentral:rRNA from 1 species